GACGAACGCUGGCGGCGUGCCUAAUACAUGCAAGUCGAACGAACUCUGGUAUUGAUUGGUGCUUGCAUCAUGAUUUACAUUUGAGUGAGUGGCGAACUGGUGAGUAACACGUGGGAAACCUGCCCAGAAGCGGGGGAUAACACCUGGAAACAGAUGCUAAUACCGCAUAACAACUUGGACCGCAUGGUCCGAGUUUGAAAGAUGGCUUCGGCUAUCACUUUUGGAUGGUCCCGCGGCGUAUUAGCUAGAUGGUGGGGUAACGGCUCACCAUGGCAAUGAUACGUAGCCGACCUGAGAGGGUAAUCGGCCACAUUGGGACUGAGACACGGCCCAAACUCCUACGGGAGGCAGCAGUAGGGAAUCUUCCACAAUGGACGAAAGUCUGAUGGAGCAACGCCGCGUGAGUGAAGAAGGGUUUCGGCUCGUAAAACUCUGUUGUUAAAGAAGAACAUAUCUGAGAGUAACUGUUCAGGUAUUGACGGUAUUUAACCAGAAAGCCACGGCUAACUACGUGCCAGCAGCCGCGGUAAUACGUAGGUGGCAAGCGUUGUCCGGAUUUAUUGGGCGUAAAGCGAGCGCAGGCGGUUUUUUAAGUCUGAUGUGAAAGCCUUCGGCUCAACCGAAGAAGUGCAUCGGAAACUGGGAAACUUGAGUGCAGAAGAGGACAGUGGAACUCCAUGUGUAGCGGUGAAAUGCGUAGAUAUAUGGAAGGACACCAGUGGCGAAGGCGGCUGUCUGGUCUGUAACUGACGCUGAGGCUCGAAAGUAUGGGUAGCAAACAGGAUUAGAUACCCUGGUAGUCCAUACCGUAAACGAUGAAUGCUAAGUGUUGGAGGGUUUCCGCCCUUCAGUGCUGCAGCUAACGCAUUAAGCAUUCCGCCUGGGGAGUACGGCCGCAAGGCUGAACCUCAAAGGAAUUGACGGGGGCCCGCACAAGCGGUGGAGCAUGUGGUUUAAUUCGAAGCUAUGCGAAGAACCUUACCAGGUCUUGACAUACUAUGCAAAUCUAAGAGAUUAGACGUUCCCUUCGGGGACAUGGAUACAGGUGGUGCAUGGUUGUCGUCAGCUCGUGUCGUGAGAUGUUGGGUUAAGUCCCGCAACGAGCGCAACCCUUAUUAUCAGUUGCCAGCAUUAAGUUGGGCACUCUGGUGAGACUGCCGGUGACAAACCGGAGGAAGGUGGGGAUGACGUCAAAUCAUCAUGCCCCUUAUGACCUGGGCUACACACGUGCUACAAUGGAUGGUACAACGAGUUGCGAACUCGCGAGAGUAAGCUAAUCUCUUAAAGCCAUUCUCAGUUCGGAUUGUAGGCUGCAACUCGCCUACAUGAAGUCGGAAUCGCUAGUAAUCGCGGAUCAGCAUGCCGCGGUGAAUACGUUCCCGGGCCUUGUACACACCGCCCGUCACACCAUGAGAGUUUGUAACACCCAAAGUCGGUGGGGUAACCUUUUAGGAACCAGCCGCCUAAGGUGGGACAGAUGAUUAGGGUG
rnacentral:rRNA from 1 species